UGGUGUACCUAGCUAAAUGAGUGUUAGUAUCAUUCUGUAUUCAGUAAGAAGAAACCAGGAUAAAUUCAGUCGUCUCAUAAUGAAGUGGUUGGCUUGCGGCUUUCUGCUGUUGGCUAUUUUGGACGGAUAUCAAAGUUUACCAUUCUUCAGAUACCGGAGACCACGGCCCGUAAUAAUACCUGUAUACAUUCCAUUUCCAUACGACUAUGGCUAUAGCCAAUAUCCGCCAUUCAUUAUAAAUAAUAACUCUUUUUGGAACGAUGUAUACAAUCGUAACACAACAGAUUUCAGUAAGAGUAUAAAUUACGGUAAUAAUUACGGUACUAAUUGGCUUGAAUAGUUUCUCACUGUUUGGCAUGAAGCGGCACAAAGCUUGGAGCUCAUCUUCGUCAAGAAUUCCUGGAUCUAGAUACCAUAUGAUCAUGCACAGAUACAUGCAUACGAGCAUGGUGCUUUACCUGGCCGACUGGCAGAUGACAGUUCACAAAACGCACGCCAUUCUCAACCCGAAUCAACAAAAAAAUUGUUCGUAUUUUUUUUAUCCGCAAUCUGUUAAUGUCACCUUCCCGUAUUCUACGUCAUCUUAAAACCGUGCUGCGCCCUCACACAAAUGCAAACACAAAGCAUACGCAACGAUAAUUCAUAACAUUCAUAAAAUUGAGUUACUUCCGAUAUACGAUGACAAAAAAAAAUAGUUCGAUUAUUUACGUAUUUUAUGUCAACCUCCUGAAAUAUUGCACGGAUGCAAAUCAACACCUUGUAUACUUCAUUAUUCAUUUAAAUGUAUGUUGUAGGCUUUUAUAUGCACUCAUGUAUACAUAAAAUUAUACUAAGACAUCAUUUAAUAUUGUAUAAUAAUGGUUUUUCAAGACUUAGAAGUAUUGUUACCCCAAAAUUCUUUGGUAAGACAUUGUAUAACUGGGUAGUUGACCUAUCUUUAGUUAUAUUUGCUUUGUUACUUUUGCUAGUAUCUCUGUCUUUGCGCUUGUUCCACUUUGUGUUUUCGUACCAAUAAAUAUCUCUUAUAUA